UACAGAGGUCUCAAGCGUUGUUCGGAUUCAUUGGGCGUAAAGGGUGCGUAGGCGGCGCGGUAAGUCGGGUGUGAAAUCUCGGAGCUUAACUCCGAAACUGCAUUCGAUACUGCCGUGCUUGAGGACUGGAGAGGAGACUGGAAUUUACGGUGUAGCGGUGAAAUGCGUAGAUAUCGUAAGGAACACCAGUGGCGAAGGCGAGUCCCUGGACAACUCCUGACACUGAGGCACGAAAGCUAGGGGAGCAAACAGG
rnacentral:rRNA from 1 species